rnacentral:tRNA from 1 species
CUCUCUUAAAUACCUAGUAUAAUUAACUUCCAAUUAAUAAGAAAAAAAGAGAAA